rnacentral:rRNA from 2 species
CAAAUGACUCUCGGCAACGGAUAUCCCGGCUCUCGCAUCGAUGAAGAACGUAGCGAAAUGCGAUACUUGGUGUGAAUUGCAGAAUCCCGUGAACCAUUGAGUCUUUGAACGCAAGUUGCGCCCGAAGCCACUAGGCUAAGGGCACGUCUGCCUGGGUGUCACG